rnacentral:rRNA from 1 species
AUUGAACGCUGGCGGCAGGCCUAACACAUGCAAGUCGAGCGGAUGAAGGGAGCUUGCUCCUGGAUUCAGCGGCGGACGGGUGAGUAAUGCCUAGGAAUCUGCCUGGUAGUGGGGGAUAACGUCCGGAAACGGGCGCUAAUACCGCAUACGUCCUGAGGGAGAAAGUGGGGGAUCUUCGGACCUCACGCUAUCAGAUGAGCCUAGGUCGGAUUAGCUAGUUGGUGGGUUAAAGGCCUACCAAGCCGACGAUCCGUAACUGGUCUGAGAGGAUGAUCAGUCACACUGGAACUGGAACACGGUCCAGACGCCUACGGGAGGCAGCAGUGGGGAAUAUGGGACAAUGGGCGAAAGCCUGAUCCAGCCAUGCCGCGUGUGUGAAGAAGGUCUUCGGAUUGGAAAGCACUUUAAGUUGGGAGGAAGGGCAGUAAGUUAAUACCUUGCUGUUUUGACGUUACCAACAGAAUAAGCACCGGCUAACUUCGUG